GAUGAAGAACGCAGCGAAAUGCGAUAAUUAAUGUGAAUUGCAGAAUUCCGUGAAUCAUCGAGUCUUUGAACGCACAUUGCGCCUCAUGGCAUUCCGUGAGGCAUGCCCAUCUCAGCGUUAGAAAAUAUUCUCAAAUUUUAGUUUUGUGCUAAAAUUUGGAUCAUGUCAAGGAAGCUAUUACUAUUAUUGUGAUCGCUCUUUGGAAAUUGAUAGGUCUUUGAGUUGCUACUCAUAGAACGUGAUGAAUCUUUCUUCGUUCUAUUGUAAUUCACUCUGGUAGUCCUAAAACUUGUAUGCCUGUGGCAGAUCUUGUAAUUUGACCUGAGAUUGGGUAGGGAUACCCGCUGAACUUAAGCAUAUCAAUAAGCGGAGGA
rnacentral:misc_RNA from 1 species